rnacentral:lncRNA from 1 species
UAUAAACAAUCCCGUUUACAUCUCACUUCUGGUGUCAUGUGUAUGCCCCUAGGUGCAUAUUGUGGGAACUUGCUGUCUGGGAAGCUGGAGUGGUCAUGGGUCAAGAUACACGGAAUCGCAACACAAGAUUAAUGGUUUUUACAUGUGGUUUAUAAACAAUUAACGAACGAAUUAUGCUUCUGCUAUAUACUGUGAAUUAUUUGUAACGUUGUAACACUUAAUGU